AUGACUGUGAGUAACCCAGACCAGAAGUCGUGGGCUCUGCACAGUGCGAGGCAGAGGACGGGCAGUGCCAGGAAGCAGCCAGACGCUGGCGUUUUCGUUGUAAGAGAUCCCUGUCUCCCUGUUAAGGGCACAGCAACCCUAAAGCCUGACACCCAGCAGCAGCAGUGCCCAAACCCAAAGGAGGUGUUCGGACCUCGAUGCCAGGCCUCCUCCGGCCCUCUCUCCAGCAGGCUGCAGCCUGGAGGGGAGCGAGUCGCUGGGGGGCCCUUCCGGGAAGAAGAGGACAGUGCUUGGACAUUCCUUUGUGCCCAUCUCCCCAGCCGUGGCUCCCCCAGGACCACCAGCUUUGGUGCAACCACCCUUUGCAGUGGCAUCCCCACCGGCCUUGUCCAGUCCCCACCUCCCGGGGCAGCACGAAGCCGCCACCUCACCGCCUCCAGGGUGCUGCGCUGGGCUUCCCCGCCCAGCCUCCAGCCCCGAGCGCACCGUUAUUCAGCCAAAGCCGGGGAGGAGCAGGCCUCGAGGGGCGUCCGGCUCCAAAGUUGUGCAAGUGGCGCCCGGAGCUCGCCACAGCCGGCGCAUCUGCAUGAAACUUUGUCCAAGGUGCCGUCCAGCAGAAAGGCAGCUCGUGAGAACACGACGCGGUGUCCCCACCCGCUUUAUUCACCGGGCCUGACCCUGUGCGACUUCUGGCUCCUCCCCAGAGUCAAAAUGACGGUGAAAGGUGACACUGAAUCCAUUCAGAACAUGGAGGCAGCCAGGACUGCGCAGCUAAAGACCCAGAGCUGCUGCAGAAAGCGGCCAGGGCGCUGGGGUGAGUGUGCCUGAAGCGAGGAGGAGGAGGACACGGAGCAUCCCCAAGGGGAAUUAACAGCCACGUCUGUUACCGAACUACAUUUUACAAUGUAUUCGUCACCUCUGCCCAGAGGCCUUCGGGGUGUCAGGCAGCCUGGCUGGUACUGCAGCUGGACCUGUCGCCUGCCCUGAGCGGGGCCCAGUAGCCUCUGGUCCUGGAAUGAGAGAGGCAUGGAGGGACCGGAGCCUCCUGCAUGCGCCCAAGGGCACCCGUCCUCCCAGGGCAUCUGCAGACCCUGGGCAAGGACCAUGUGUUUGCAGGUGGGCCAGGAACUGGCAGAGACUGCACCCUCAGCAGGGCUGUCCUCCCCGCUAAGAUGCCUGGAGUUUUCCUCACGUUUUAGAGCCUUCAUCAUGAGCCAGGCACAUGUCUAAGUCUUACGUUUACUGCAUCACUCAGUCAUCACCGCAGUCCAGUGUGAUAGACACUGCGGUCAUCUUUACACACGAGAAGCGGGGUAACUCGCCAGGGUGACGCAGCAGGUAAUGGCAGGGACAUGACUUGAAUCCAGGCAAUCUGCCUCUGGAAAGAAUCAGCGGACAGAAUGGAAACCAGGACAGGGGUCUUUGGGGAUGGCCACCCCUUGGGAGG
rnacentral:lncRNA from 1 species